UAACACAUGCAAGUCGAGCGGAGUUGAUCGACGGAAGCCUUCGGGCGGAAGAUGAUUAACUUAGCGGCGGAUGGGUGAGUAACGCGUGGGCAACCUGCCUCGAAGACCGGGAUAACAGUUCGAAAGGGCUGCUAAUACCGGAUGUGGUCAAGUGUCAGCAUGGGCAUUUGAUUAAAGGGGAAACCCGUUUCGAGAUGGGCCCGCGUCCUAUCAGUUAGUUGGUGAGGUAAAGGCUCACCAAGGCAAUGACGGGUAGCCGGCCUGAGAGGGUGACCGGCCACACUGGAACUGAGACACGGUCCAGACUCCUACGGGGGGCAGCAGUGGGGAAUCUUCCACAAUGGGCGAAAGCCUGAUGGAGCGACGCCGCGUGAGCGAAGAAGGCCUUCGGGUUGUAAAGCUCUGUCUGGAGGGACGAGGAAAGUGACGGUACCUCCGGAGGAAGCCACGGCUAACUACGUGCCAGCAGCCGCGGUAAUACGUAGGUGGCGAGCGUUGUCCGGAAUCACUGGGCGUAAAGGGCGCGCA
rnacentral:rRNA from 1 species